rnacentral:rRNA from 1 species
UAUGGCCUACGGGAGGCAGCAGUGGGGAAUCUUCCGCAAUGGGCGCAAGCCUGACGGAGCAAUGCCGCGUGAACGAAGAAGGUCUUCGGAUUGUAAAGUUCUGUCCUUAUCGAAGAGAGGGUAUAGAGUGAAAAAUGAUAUACUAGGACGGUAGAUGAGGAGGAAGCCCCGGCUAACUACGUGCCAGCAGCCGCGGUAAUACGUAGGGAGCAAGCGUUAUCCGGAUUUAUUGGGUGUAAAGGGUGCGUAGACGGAGAAGCAAGUUAGUUGUGAAAUCCCUCGGCUUAACUGAGGAACUGCAACUA